rnacentral:rRNA from 1 species
UACGGAGGAUCCGAGCGUUAUCCGGAAUUAUUGGGCGUAAAGGGAACGCAGGCGGUCUUUUAAGUCUGAUGUGAAAGCCUUCGGCUUAACCGGAGUAGUGCAUUGGAAACUGGGAGACUUGAGUGCAGAAGAGGAGAGUGGAACUCCAUGUGUAGCGGUGAAAUGCGUAGAUAUAUGGAAGAACACCAGUGGCGAAAGCGGCUCUCUGGUCUGUAACUGACGCUGAGGUUCGAAAGCGUGGGUAGCAAACAGG